UUUCAGAUAAGUAAGAAAAGGAUAAUGCAUCAAUAUAAGCAUUUAUUAAUAAAGACACUGAAUGUUUCAGGGGAUUUUUUCCCAUGACUUUGUGGCAUUGAGYGGUCUGGGACGCUGGGAACGGUGGCUGAUUACUGGUACCAGUUGACAAAUGGAUCUCUGCUUCUCAUCCGUUACACCAUGUGAACAUCUGACAGCAGCCAGACCGCCUGGUACUGUAUGCAGUGCAGCAUGGGAAACACAGCCAGGUGUCACUGCAAAGCUACGCUAAUUAGCCCGGUAAUGAAGACGAGGAAUGUCAGACGGAGAGGGCGGCGCGAGCUCACGACGACGACGACGCGGAGAAACGUCCGAACACAAGCUGAGAGUCUGCAGGACGCCCUGCUGAGGCUCUGCUGGUCCCGAGGGAUCCGGUUCAACGUUUGCACAUGAGAAUAUCUACAGUCCGUCCGCUCUGCUGCUGAAAGGGGUUUUCCACGUCUCCAUCCAUCAAAGGGAGGAUCCAUCACAGAAAAGAAGACGGAGAAGCAGCAGCUCCAUUGGCCAAGACUGUGAUGCACAAAAGAGGAAUUUGGCUCCGUUUUYAAGGCGUCAACAGAUAUCAACUGAAACUCCUUUUAACGGCUGUUUCUUGGAUCUUUUGAUGCCUGCUGCUGCUAACACAAGAUCAUCAUUUCAGGAACGUUCCUCUUCCAAAGCAGCCGUGGAAUCAGAGCAUGAAGGAAUGCCAGUCUGAAAUUUUAAGAUUGAUUUCAUGUAUUUUCUACAAAAGAUAUGAAAAUUUUCUCAGGUAAUAAAGUGGAACAUUUUUGAU